AGCUUUCGCAACGUUCCCAAUCAUAUUGAUGAAAAAUUCAUUUUGGAUACAUAUUUGAACACUUAUUGAACAAAAGCUGUGAAAGUUUUGUUUUAUUUUAUUGAAAUAAAUAUAAAUCUCUGUGUAUAAAUGACAUAAUACAAAAUACAAUACAAAACAGUUGAAUAGAUCUUGGUAUUUUAAGAAAUUUCGAAUGGAGCUCAACACAUUCCAUCGAAGUAAUAUUUCUCAUACACAAGUGACUUUCUCUUUGGAUUAACACAUUUCUGGGUAAUUCGAAAUGAAAAAUCUAGCGUUUUUCUCUUUCCAAAAGCUCUGCAGUUGGCUAUGCCGAAAUUGCAAUAAAAAAGUAUGCAAACGUGAUUUCUUUGAAUUUUUGUUUACACAAUUUGUUUUACAAUUAUAACAAUGGCUAUAAUAAACGACAUUUCGAUAUAAAUAAAAACUGAAAUAAACGCAUCAUCUCUAUAUUUAUUCGAGUGAUUCAUACUACUUUACAGAAUUUUCUAGACAUUGAAAACGUAUCCAUCAAAUGCUUUAUCGUUAAAAUGCCCUAUUACCGAAAGAACAUUAUCUUCAUUCAUGUCUGUCCAUUGAAAUGGACGAUGACAACUAUUUGCUUAUCUUCCUUAUACAUUCACUUUCGAUAAUUGGAAAAAUUAUAUAUUUUUCCUUCGAAAAAUUCGUGGUGGUUGGUAUAAAAGGUUCGCUUUCCUUUCAUUUUGAGUAUUCACUGAACUGUAUCAAUAUGGAAUUCUUCUCUUUGAAAGCAGCCGUCGCAGCAUUUGUGCUUUUAAUUUUGGACAGUGUAAUAACUGUCAUAGCUACUGAUCCCACGAUGACUCCUACUACUACACCACCUUCGUAAAAUAUUUAUAUGAGGGAUCUAACAUAAUGACAAUAAAUGAAUAUUAUUAUUAA